rnacentral:sRNA from 1 species
UUGACAUGGUAAUGAGAAUCGCUAUUAUUAGCGCAUCCGGUCGCGAGACUGGUCGAUAUUUGAAAAGCCCUUGGUUCGGACUCUCAGAUAUCUCCUCAUCAGGCUAAUCACGGUUAUUUGACCCGACUUUUGUCGGGUCUUUUUUUG